rnacentral:sRNA from 1 species
AUGGGAGAAAAAAAUAGGCCGAUACAAUAUGAUGAGCUUGCCCUCAGUUUGCACAAGAAUACGAUGACUGGUGAAUGGAAGAAUGUUGUUGAGACGUAUGAGCAACACAAAUUAUCUGCCAUUGACGCCAGGAUCAACAAGUCAGGGGACACGGCAUUUCACGUAGCUGUCUCCAUUGCGCCGGAAGAUAAGGUUCAGCAACUUGUACGUGUAAUUACCGGUGUUUCGGAGUUGGGUUUAUGGACAAAAAACAAUAAAGGGAAUACCCCUUUGCAUGUGGCAGCUUCAACGGGGAGAUUGAACAUAUGCAUCCUUCUUGCUAAAGCACCUCAAGAUUUGGAUAUUGAAGAUUUGGUGAUUAAAGAUUUAUUUCGUAACAAUGUCGGUGAGAGCCCUCUCUUCUUAGCUGCUUUUCAUGGUUACAAACCAAUCUUCCUUUACCUGCAUUUGCUGCUCUUGAAAGCCUCCAACACCGACAUCAAAUCAAUUGAUCCUGCCUACAGAAGGAAUGAUGGUGAGACUGCCCUUCACUGUGCAAUUAGAUGGGAGUAUUUCGGUGAGCAUUUUUUUCACUUCACCUAUCCUGCUAUCCAUUAUAUUGUAUUUUUUUUUUAUAUAGUUUUUUAUAUAUGAAUAAGUCAUGUUGUAAUUUCUUUCAAUUAUCGAAUUUCACUUAUAAUUCUCAUGUAAUAUAUUUUUUAUUUGAUAAACUCCAAGUACAACUAAUUUUUUUAUUUAUUUAAAAGGAGUAAAACUAAUGUUGAUGUUGUUAAACAUAUAGAAUGAUUAAAUUAUAAUAAUUUUAAGUCAUAUCAUAACCAUUUGUGCAUCUAAAACUUUAGAGAUUAUGAAAUUUAUUAUAUAGUUAUGUUUGAAUUUUAUUACUUAUUCUUUGUUUCUAUGAAAGAUACUAAAUUGUUAUGUACUGUAAGGAAUUUACGCUCUUAACCCUUGUAAAGUACUAGCAUCAGACUUGAGAACCCAAAUUUUUACAUCAAAUAUAACUAAACUCACCUACAAUUAGUUUGUAUCAACCUCACAGCCUCUAGAUAAAAUCUCAUUUAUUUUUAUAUUUCUGUGUGUGUGUCAUUGUCUUUGGCACUCUUUGUCAAACCAGUCUUGACCCUUGUAGUAGAGAACGAGAACCUCUUCAUCGGCCUUGCAAAGAAGCUUCGCUCUACCCCUUUGCUUGUCCCAGUCUCUCUAUGCUUCUUGAUCUCUCUCAAGUCGAAGCCCCUCUUAACCCACCUUCUUAUUGUUGUUUGUACUUUGUAUGUUCCUUAAAUUGGUGAGUGAAUAAUGGGGAAGAUUUGCGAAUAGAGAAAUGAAUAUGGUGAAAAAUGGGUGAAAAUGGUGAAAUAAAUCUUGGUGUGUUGAUUUGGGAAUUGAUUUGAGCCUGGUGUGUCAAUCUUUCUCUUGUCCAAGAUGAAUUGAUCUUGGUUUGUUGUUGUGGGUUUUUUUUUUUUUUUUNNNNNNNNNNNNNNNNNNNNNNNNNNNNNNNNNNNNNNNNNNNNNNNNNNNNNNNNNNNNNNNNNNNNNNNNNNNNNNNNNNNNNNNNNNNNNNNNNNNNNNNNNNNNNNNNNNNNNNNNNNNNNNNNNNNNNNNNNNNNNNNNNNNNNNNNNNNNNNNNNNNNNNNNNNNNNNNNNNNNNNNNNNNNNNNNNNNNNNNNNNNNNNNNNNNNNNNNNNNNNNNNNNNNNNNNNNNNNNNNNNNNNNNNNNNNNNNNNNNNNNNNNNNNNNNNNNNNNNNNNNNNNNNNNNNNNNNNNNNUUUUUUUUUUUUUUUUUUUUUUUUUUGUAAAUAAUCUAAAUUUUAGUUAAAAAUAAAAUUUUUUUUUUUUUAGAAACAAACACACACACCAAAAAAAAAAAAAACUAGCUUUUAGUUUUUUUGUAACACAUUUAAUAUAAAAAUGAUCAAAAACAAUAUCAUAUCUUGUGAUAUAUACUAUAUAAAUAAGUUACUAUAAAUAUUAAGCAAAAGUUAAACACACCGUAGACAGUUUUAUAUAUAAACAUAAUCAUAAUAAAUACUUAUUAAUAAUUACCAUAAUUAUCAAGUUUCACAUUUAAGCAAAAAUAAUAAUAAUGAAAGAGAAAAAGAAUCAAUUAUAUCAAACUUUUCCGCAUAUUACUGACUAGUUUAUUAAUUAUGGUUGGCAGACGUGGCAUAUGAGAUGCUUCUAAAGGAACCAAGUCUUGCAUAUGCUGUGAACGAGGUAGGAAUCACCCCUUUGCAUCUCCUAGCAAGUAAGCCUUCGGUCUUCAAAAGUGGUUCCCACAAUGGAUGGUGGAAGAGCAUCAUUUAUCAUUGUAAGUAUUACUCAAUUUUUUAGCCGCAAAUCACAAACUCUCUUUAAUAUUGGAGAUCGGAGGUGUACCUACAUUACACGUUUUAUUUUUCCAUUGUUGUUGACCAUUGUCCAACAUCACCUCUCGUUUAUCCUUUGUUAUUGUGUGAAAGGUAUAUAUGUUGAAGACCUCAUGCCCGAAACUACUCGUCAAGAAUUGAUUGAUUCUGUCAUUAAUAAAGAAAUAGAUAAAUCUUCCGAAACCGCAGACAACAAUUUCCCAAAGAACUACCAAACAUGCAUCCACUUCUAUCAGGUGCUGUGGAGUAUAGCUCACUCUGGUAUGGAAAUAGAUAUUUUUUCUUUACUUCAACUAAAAGUAACGUUACUUAAAGUUAUAUGCCAUUGCAAAACAUGUGACAGAUUUAAGCCUAUUUGGCAUGAACAUAAUUAUGUUAUAUUAAUCGCUCAUUCAUUUCAUUAACAUCUAAUGUGGGACAUUAUUACCUAAUUAACCAACCAAACUGCAAUUAAAUAUCACAACAAAUCUCUUUCUUCACAUGCGAGCCUUUUACCAAAUCACUUGUGGUUAGUCUCCCCUUGAAUGGAAGUGUCUUUCUUAACACUCUUGAUUUUCUAGCUUUACUUCAAAAAUGCAUUAAACAGAAUGAUUAACACUUUAAUAUAUACAGCAUAAUCCACAAAUCCACAAAAACAAUCUUGAUUUUUUUUCCUCUUUUCUUCCUCUUUUCUUCCCUUAAAGUUUGUAAUUUUAACCAAAUUGCUUUCCUUUUCUAGUGAUUGAAAGAUGCAAAAUUUCUUCUCAAAAAAAAGAAAGAUGCAAAGCCCAGACUGCAGAUGUAGAGAGUCCCAAGCCCAACGUAUCGAAUGUUACUGACCAAACAGUACAAAAAGGUGAGAAAUGCAUAAUAUUAAAAGUGCAUUUGAGUUAAGAUUGUUAAAAAUAUCCCACAUCAAUUAGUUUUGGAUUUAAUAUGGGUAGUUAAUUCGGUUCAUCUAUUAAAUUUACUAGUCUUUAGUUCAAUUGCUUCUAACACAAUUUCAAAGGGUUGAUUUAAUGAUUUCUAAGAUCCCAUGAUAUUCAUGAAAUCCUCAUAAUUAAACCUUCUUAUUUGUACAUUAUAAUGACUCAAGUAUUUUUGUUUGGUACAAAUUCUACAGAAUCACUUCAUCAAUUUCUUCGGAGACAUUACGAGGGCUGUUUUACCAUUUUCCAUAUUUUGUACACAAUAUUCAUCCAGGUUAUUCUGGGCCUUGGCUAUGGUAUGCCACAAUAUAUAUAUAUAUAUAUAUAUCUCGCAUUUAUCAUAAUGUCAAUUUGUUAGCCAUUUAAGUAAUUAUAUACGUACAUUAAUUACUAAUAUAUUUGCCUUUUCGUAAUGUAUAUUAUAUUUAAUAAUUAUUAUAACAUUAAGAGGGUAUAAGGAGUAGGAAACGGAAGCAUGUAUAUUCUGUUCAAAUCAUGAAAAUUCUGAUGGAAAGUACAAGCAAAGAAGCUAAGUCCGACUUCACAAGUGGGACGAACCCUCACCAAACAAUCAACCAGCGAGACUGGAUCCGGGAGGAAUCACCACCACCAUUUCUGGACAAUACAACUGAACAUGGAAACAAGAGAAACGAAACUGCUUUUACUUUUGAAAUGACUAUCAAAAAAGAAACUGCUUUAGAAGAGAAAAAGGAUAAAACAGGUGAUUCGCUAUUGUCCCAUAUUGUAGUUUUAAUGGAUUUAUAUGUGGACUCGGAUUGUGAAGGUACAUCAACUAUAUAUAUGGAAAAUUAACACUUGAAGAUGUACUCUGUAUUAUUAGCAGGAAAAGGGGAAGCGUCUGAAAUGGCAAAUGCAGACAAAACUUUACUUAUUUUACUACCAGGAAAAGGGGAAACGCCUGAAAUGAAAAAAACAGAGGCACCCAUAUUGGUUGCCGCAAGAAAUGGUAUCACGAACAUGGUCGAGCAAAUAUUUCAAAAGCUUCCAAUGGCCAUUAAUGACAAGAGCAAAGAAAAGACAGAGACAACCAUAUUGCUUGCAGCAAGAAAUGGUAUCACAGAAAUUGUUGAGUACAUACUCAACAAGUUUCCAUUGGCCAUUGAUGACAAGAGUGAAGGUCAAAAUAUUGUGCUUUUGGCCGCGAAGAACAGGCAAACACAUGUAUUGCGACUAUUGCUUGAGCAAGAGUUUGUGAAACGUAAGCUAAUUCAUGAAGUGGAUUCGGAUGAAAAUAAUGCAUUGCAUCUGGCAGCCCAGAUAGGAAAGCAAAGGCCUUGGCUAAUUCCUGGUGCUGCAUUGCAAAUGCAGUGGGAAAUCAAGUGGUACGAGGUACGAACUCAAAACCAGCUUGUUUAUAAUAAAAUAAAAUUUUAAAAAAAAAUUAAAAAAACCCUCGAAAGAGUCAAAACCAGCUUUGUUCUUGAUUUUCACACAAUGUAAUUAUAGAGCGGGGUGGGGCAGCUUUUAAAAGUUCCCUCCUCUUCUAUAUUUUUCAUUUUUAUUUUUUGAAAGAAUAUAUAUAUAAAAUUUUAUUUUUUACUGUUCAAUGUUAAUGGAUAAACUCUCUCUCCCUCUCUAAAGCUUUUGAUUUUUUUAAUUUAUAUUUUAUGUUGUCACAUAAACUUUUGAAAGCCCACAUUUUUCCAUACCAUUAUUCUAAUAUUUUUUUAAUUGAAUUUUAAUUUAAUAAGGAUUUCUUAUUAAACUUCCUAUGUUAAUUUAAACCCUCUAACUCUAUUAGAUUCUUGUAUAUUAUAAUUAAUUUAAAAAAAUAGAAUUAAUAGUUUAAUAUAUAAACACAUUUAUAAUAAUGGUUAUUAAGAAUUACAAUAAUUAUUAAAUUUUAUAUUUAAAAAAAAUUAAAAUUAAGAGAAAAGAUUAUAUUUUAUGAAUUUUCUUAUGCAAUGCACUAGUUAAUAUAUAUAUAUAUAUAUAUAUAACUAUUAAUACAUGCAGUUUGUAAAAGACAACAUGCCACAGCACUUUUGCUAUCAAGUCAACAAGGAGGGCAAGACCCCAGAAGAAAUCUUUAACGAGACACAUGAGGACUUAGUCAAACAGGGAGGCGAGUGGCUAAACAAAACCUCUGAAGCCUGCUCAGUUGUGGCUGCACUCAUUGCCACCGUUGCCUUUGCCUCGUCGACCACUAUUCCAGGCAACAUCAAUGAAGAAAAUGGGAAACCAAACCUUGAAAGCCACUCGACGCUCACCAUCUUUGCCGUCUCCUCACUCAUUGCCUUGUGCUUCUCCAUCACUGCAUUGUUCUCGUUUCUUGCCAUCCUCACUUCCCGAUAUGAACAGAAAGAUUUUCGUAGAGACUCGCCAAAGAAACUUUUGCUUGGCUUAACUUCUCUCCUCGUAUCCAUUACAUCAAUGUUGGUUUCUUUUUGUGCUGGACAUUACUUUAUGCUUAAGAACAAACUAAAAGACAAGGCAUUUCCAGUAUAUGCAGCGACAUGCUUGCCGAUAGUCUUUUUUGCCAUACAACAGUUGCCGCUCUAUGUUGAUAUUGUGUGGGCUAGUUUCAAGAAUGUGCCCCGAUCAAGCUAUAAGACUAUUUCCCUCUAGAGGUUUCUUCUACAUUAUAGAAACCUUUUAUUUUUGAAUGUUUGUACUUUUUCUAUCAAUCAAGAUUGAUGGUAUGCUUUAGGAUUGAAGUAAGUUGUCUGUUAUUUUAAAUCAAUAUGGGAUGCAUUGUUUUUUUUUUUUUUUUGGGUGUUUUGUGCAUGUUGUGCACCUAUUUGUGUUUCAAUUGUACUUAGAGAUUUUAACCUUUUGAAAAUGUUGUGCUUAUGACUUGUGAGUUCAAUAAUUAAUUGAAUAUAGUUUAAGUAUUUUAUGUUGAAUAUAUAUAUAUAUAUAUAUAUCUACCAAAAAUACGGCAGAUCCACCAUUGAUGUUGGAAUAGCCCUUCAGUUGUCAUGAAUCAUGAUUUGUAAAAAAUGAAUCUCUCUUUUUCUAUAAUUACGUGCUUAUUUUUAGCCAAACCAAACAAAGCUAUAGUUUGGUUCUCCUCAAGUAAUUAUUUAAUAUUUUGAAGGAACAAUCAAAUGAUAGGUAUUUUGAAAAUAUCAAGAGAUGUCAACCAAUAGGUUCCAAUUAACUUAACUGAUAAAUAUUUUGUCGUUGAAUAAGAAAAAAAAAUGUUAACUAAUUGAGUUAUAAAACUUUUGAUAACCUGCCUUGUUAUUUGAAAAUUAUGGUUAUGACUUAAUCUUUUAACCACCAAAUCCCAUUUAAAUUUCUUAGAACUUAAGAAACUGAAAUUUUCCAUAAAAAAAUUAUAUUAAAAACUAGUAAAUCACUUAAUAUUUUGACAAUACAGUUUUAUGUAAAAUACUUCAUAUAAUUAGCAAUGAGAAAUAGGUUCCUCAUGACUUGAAAUAAAGAGAGUGUAUUUUACCUUUAUGAUUUUUAUUUUUAUUUAAGUUAACAGAUGCCUAAAUGUAUUGAUUUAAAAAAUAUUUUAGAAAAAAAAAAACUAAUUUUUAAACAAUUUUUUAUAUUUUCCAUGGCAUAAAAACUUUAUCCAUUAUUAUUUAUGACCAAUAUAAGAGAGAUUAUUUCUCGACUAAAAUCCUGUGUUCAAGUAUCUAGAGGAGUUUCAGCGCUUCCCACGCAUAUAAGAAAAUAAAGAAGGCAUUAGCUUAGCUUUCCGUUGCAGCUCACCACCGACCUAUUUACUCAGAAAAUUUUCAAUUUAACAGUGCCUAAUGGUGAUUUUUCAGUUUCACAAACGGUAGCAAAUGAAUGAAUCAUUCAAAUUUCACAUCAUCCUAUUAGCGAUUCUUUUUGCAACGCGCUCUAAUGGAGAAUCAUCGACGUGCGUGACGGUCUACAAAGAAGGCGGCGCUCCCGCGGUCUUUCAAUCCCCAAAAUGCCCCCGCUGGACUCUCUCAAAUUACGGUUCCACCAUCACCAUCACCAUCAUCACCACCACAACCUCAAGCGCCGCUCCUUGCCCAGUCGGCGAUACUUCAAGGUCGCCGAAAGUCCCAAGAGGAUCGCAUCCUCUGUGCCCUCGAUAUUCGCAUCCCUUUUCCUGGUCUUUCUCUCUCUCUCUCUGGGUUUUUGUUAUUAAUUGCAUUAAUACCAUUCUAUUUAGCAUAUAUUGCAGAAACACCCCUAGUACUUCCAUUUUGUUUCCUUUUAGGCAAAUUUUUGUUUCUUGCUCUGAAUUUUCAAUGGCUAAAGAUUUUUUUGAGAGUUUAAAUUAAAGCUACAAGCAAUAGAAUGGCUUGGAGUUAGACAUUUAUGUUUAUUGUGGAUUUAGUUAGAUUUUGAAUUUAUAAAAAUGUACGUUAAAUUUUAAUUAUUUAAUGGAAGUAGUUGAUUAAAUCAAUUAAAUACCACAUAGGGGUGUGAUUAGAAAUAUUGAAAAUUGUUAAAGCAAUGGUUAAGUGAUUAAGUCUGUUUGGUAUCAGCUUUUAGCUCUUAGCUUUUAUGAACAGCGUUGUAAAACUUUACUUUUUCCUUCAUUUUUUCGCUCUUUCAAAAAUUUUCAAGAUACAAGUAUAUUUUGGCACACUUUUAGUAAAAAAAUUUCAGCAAAAAGCUUGAUAAAUUGUUUCUAAAUGGACUCUAAAUAUAUUAUUUCUUAGCACCUUAAUUUUUUGGGACCAUUUGUAAUUUAGUAAUCUUUAUGGAUAAUGUUAUAGACAAGAUAAUUGGUAAUUUUCACAACAAUUAAGUUGACAAGUUUUUACUGAUUAAUAUCUAGGCCAACCACUGAUAUCACUUUUUAAAUUAUUAUUAACGAUUUGCCAUAUCAGUGAUUGUGAAAUUUUGUGCAACUCUAGACUUGUUAGAUCUUGAUUCUUGAUUCUUGAUUCUUGAGUUCCAACCUUGCCUUCAUUCUUCCUUCCCAAUUAAGAGUUGAAAAUUUCACAUGUUGGGCCCUCACUUAACUUAUUAAGGGAGAGUCUAGUCCAUUCGUGAGGAAGAGUGUUAUAGUAAUGAUUAGGUAAAUUUACCUUUCUUAUCAAUUUAAGUUUUUGGGACUAAUGGUAAUUUAUCAAAAAUGAAAGAAAUUUAGGUGUGUUUUACUGUUUCAUUUAUUGUAGUUGGCUUUUGUAAUGUAAUGAAUUUGAUGUUGGAGCAGGCAAAAUGGGGGUUAAGGAGGUUACAGUUGGAAUAUGGCAGUUUUUGAUGGUCAUGAUGGUGCCGAAGCUAGUGACAUGGAUCCAAAGCUUUUAUUGGAGUAUUUCAUUUUACAUACUUAUUUCCUUCUGGAUGCAACAUAUUUUUCAGUCACAUCUGUUUUAGUACAGUGCUCUUAUAUUGUUAAUGGUAUUGCCUACAUGUUAUCUCACCAUAUACUUUUAAUUGACAGGAUAUUGUUCAUAUGUACUUCAAAUAAUGAGAAUGCAUUCCUAGUUCAAAGUAUUCAUUGCCAGUGAAUUUCAAUAAUUCUCUUCACUUAGAAUUUUUAGAAGAAGCAUUGUGGAGGCAUAGAUUUUUAAUUGACGGGAUAUUUUUUAUAUGUACUUCUAAUUUGUGAAUGCUUUCCUUGGUUUAAGUAUUCAUGGAAAAUGAGUUUCGAUGAUUCUCUUCACUUAGAAAUUUUAAAGGAAGCAUUGUUGAGGGCAAUCCAUGAUAUUGAUGCUAAAUUUUCUAUGGCUGGUUCUAUUUGAUUUUUCUUGGCUUGUUUUAGAAUUGUUGUGCAUUAUUCCCUUCUUUUUGCUCGUGUUGGCAUUCGUUCACUUAAGCAAUGAUGGAAGCAUCUCACAAACAGUGAAAAAUAUUUGAAUUCAUACUUCUUCCAUAAUUAACCCCAUUGUGACUUCCAAAAGAGCUUGUAAUGAAGUUUUAUUAACUUACAUUUCUUGCUGCCAAGAGGCUUGUAGCUCAAUGGUAUUGUCCAGUUUUCUCCUUGUGAAGAACCUAGGUUUGAAUUUCUAUUUGACUGGGCAUUAAAAAAACUUACAUUUCUUACCUUUUUAUCAUCUAACAUCAUUAGUUUAAUAUUUAUUGAAAUUCUCAUUUAGUAUUCUCUGAAUUAUUAUCAGUUGUGGUGUUAUAUCUGCACCAGAGGUGAAAGAUUGUACUCAUUAGCUGAUAGCAUAGUUAACACUGCCUUUGAACAAGUCUGGAUAAUAUGACAGCUGUUGUGGCUCCUUUGGGAUCUAUUGUUUUUUCUGAAGAUUUUCUCAAUGAAAGUUGUGUUGGAGAGGGAGACAGAGAUUUCCCAGCAAGUAGUUGACUACAUAAGUUCAGUUAUGAACACUCAGGUGACUCUCUCUGCUUUUAAACUUUCCAAAAGAUUAUUGAUUGCAUAAGUUUUGAAACCAGAAGUUCAGUUUGCUGGGUUCACAGAUUUUAGCUAUGGUUUAUGAGAUAACCAACACAGAGUUGGUUUAAAAUUUAUCACUUCUAUUCAUGAUUUUUAGUGGUAUUAACUUUUACUUCAAUGCAAUUGUGUCAAAACCAAAUACUGAUAGCGAGAUAACUAUCCUCACAAAGAGGAACUAACUCCUACCAUUACUAAUUUGAAACCUUAAAAACCUAAUCUACAGCUUCUCACUAUCCUCGUCUGAUGCUGCAUAUUUAUUUAAACUCAAACUUCAUCUGUUGCUGCAUAAUUAAAUUCAUCAUUUGCUGCUGCAUAAAUUUUAAUGGAUCUGUUGCAAGCCUUAUCCUUAUUUUUACUUUUGUUGUCUGAAUUUCAGACGUAAUGGUACUCGUUAUAAAAUUUUACUCCAUCAAAUUUAUGAUCAACAAUCAAACUCUCUCUAAUCUCUCUAUGUGUGUAUAUUUUAAUGCAGUUUGUUAAAAAUAACCUGCUGCAACACUAUUGUUAUCAACACAAGAAGGAAUGCAAGACCCUGGAAGAAAUCUUCAAUGAAACCCACAUGGACCUCGUCAGGGAGGGAGGCAAGUGGCUGAAAAGCACUUCAAACUCCUGCUCUGUUGUGACUACACUCAUCACUACUGUUGUCUUUCUGGCGUCAACCACUGUUCCUGGUGAUAUCAAUGAUAGUAGUGGCAUGCCGAUCCUUGUAAAACAUUUAGCGUUCACCUUAUUUGCUAUUUCCUCACUUGUUGCUCUGUGCUUUUCUAUCAUUGCCUUGUUCUUGUUCCUCACCAUCGUCACCUCCCAAUACCAACAGAAAGAUUUCCAUGGCUAUGUGCCGAGGAAACUUCUGCUUGGCCUAACAUUGCUCUUUGUUUCCACUGGGUCAAUGUUGAUUUCUUUCUGUGCUGGACAAUUCUUCUCGCUAAAAAGUAAACUGAAAGAUAUGGCGCUUCCUGUAUAUACGAUGAUAUGCCUGCCGAUAAUCCUUUUAUCCCUAGCACAGUUUCCACCCUACUUCCAACUUUUAAAGGCUACUUUCAAGAAGGUCCUUCCACCGGGCUUUAAGUUAAGGUGGCUUCUCUCUAGGGUGUUUCGUCUACAUUCUACAACUUUGUGUUGGAUUGGUGAUUUCACUUUUUCUGUUGUUCGAGUACUAUGGUUUCUUCAUGGUGAGAAUUCUUUAAUGUACCUUAAGGAUUUGUCUUAUAUAUACAUAAUUAAUUAUGUUGAGAAUUCUUUUAGUUGUAGGACUAAAUUUGCCCAUGAAAGAAGAUAA